rnacentral:misc_RNA from 1 species
GAAAUGCGAUAAUUAAUGUGAAUUGCAGAAUUCAGUGAAUCAUCGAGUCUUUGAACGCACAUUGCGCCCCCUGGUAUUCCGGGGGGCAUGCCUGUCCGAGCGUCAUUGCUGCCCUCAAGCACGGCUUGUGUGUUGGGCUUCCGUCCCUGGCAACGGGGACGGGCCCAAAAGGCAGUGGCGGCACCAUGUCUGGUCCUCGAGCGUAUGGGGCUUUGUCACCCGCUCCCGUAGUUCCAGCUGGCAGCUAGCCUCGCAACCAAUCUUUUUAACCAGGUUGACCGCGGAUCAGGUAGGGAUACCCGCUGAACGUAAGCA